CUCGCGCCUCCCUCCCUGGUCGCCACGCCUCUCAAAGCUGCUGCUGCAGUCGUCCUUGUGAAUCGCAACACCUCUCCAUCCCACGGCUGCCGACGAUGACGGGAUGAUGAGGUUGGCUAGGCGGGCAGGCCAAGGGUGAAGUGAAGUGGGAGGCGCAUCCGUUAGUGCAGCUGGAGGUCUAGGUUAGCUCAUUUGAAUCUCACAGGCCACCACGGGGAGAGCAACCAUGCAGGCGCAUCGACCUCCCCCACCAGGUGUGUUGAUUUGAACCUUCAUUAUUAGUGGAGCUAACCAUCUCCAACAACAACAACAAAUGUUGUGCAUCCAUCAGCAACAUCCAUCAGCACAUCGGCCUCCCUCACCAGGUGUUGUAGUGUUCAGGAAGGGGCGCAGAUACAGCAACGGUCCAUCUACAACCGCGUCCACAGCCACAGGGCACCUAAUCUCAGGUGACCUCCUGUUUUGACGUCAUCCUUCGGUAGCUGCAAGCGUGGUGACCGAGUGUGGAAACAACCUUGGCGUACAGCGGCAGCCAUGAGGCUGUACAUGCUUGCUCUCGGCAACCGGCUCCUCAUUCAGCUACGCAAUCCAACUACUUGAAGGAACAUACAGUUCUAGAAGUAAGAACUGUUGGGCUAUUACAGCGCAACUUUGGGAUGAUGGAUGUUCAGGAUAGCUAUGCAGACCUCCUAUAUGUAGUUUAUAAGAAUGUAUUGGAAGCACCAACGUUCAGUUGGAGAGGGAGCUAUCUGGAGAAGUCACGAAGAGUGCAUCGUCGUGGCGACGGCGAAGGCAGUUUCCGGAGCAGGAAACUGUGCCAUCUGUUGAGGCUGUAGACACGGCCAUGGCGACCAAGAGGACCUGCGGAUGCUGGGGACUACGCAUCCAGCCACUCCUUGCGCCACUCGACCAAGGCCGGUGUCGCCGAUCACCGUGGUGGAAAAGGAUGACCAGAGGAGCCUGUCCAGCGCGCAUGAGGAGAGCAUGUGGCCAUCAAUGUCCUCUCAUCAGUGGUGCCUGUGCCUCACCUGGAAGCGUGCCGGGAAGCUGGGUUUGCCGUGGGUGUUUGCAGGAAGUAUAGGUGGAGGUGGUAUAGGUGUCAGUGGUGGCGCGGUGAGAAAGUUGCGGUGGCUGUGGCAGUGUCAUGUCACCUCUCGCCUGACUCACUCCAAUGGGCUUUUGCAUGCAUCCCUGCUUAACAGGAAAAUGCAAAAGACAAACAACGGCUACUAAAACCUCUACCAUUACUGAAUCUCAUUUGAGGCUUUGAGCACGUGUUUCUCUGUUUCCCAGAUGGUACCGGAUAUUGCAUUUGACUCUCUGCACUAUAGCUGUUCUGGAUUUUGGCUGUGGAGUAGCA